GCCUGGCUGGCUCAGUCAGAAGAGCAUGAGACUCUUGAUCUCAGGGUUGUGAGUUCGAGCCCCAUACUGGGUA
rnacentral:tRNA from 1 species